GGCGGACGGGUGAGUAAUGCGUGAGCAACCUGCCCUUCGGAGGGGGACAACAGUUGGAAACGACUGCUAAUACCGCAUAAUGUAUAAUAAUCGCAUGGUUGUUAUACCAAAGAUUUAUCGCCGAGGGAUGGGCUCACGUCUGAUUAGUUAGUUGGUGAGGUAAUGGCUCACCAAGACUGCGAUCAGUAGCCGGACUGAGAGGUUGACCGGCCACAUUGGGACUGAGAUACGGCCCAGACUCCUACGGGAGGCAGCAGUGGGGAAUAUUGGGCAAUGGGCGCAAGCCUGACCCAGCAACGCCGCGUGAAGGAAGAAGGCUUUCGGGUUGUAAACUUCUUUUUUGGGGGACGAAACAAAUGACGGUACCCCAAGAAUAAGCUCCGGCUAACUACGUGCCAGCAGCCGCGGUAAUACGUAGGGAGCAAGCGUUAUCCGGAUUUACUG
rnacentral:rRNA from 1 species